GUUUUUUGUCAGAAGCCAUUCGGCCGCGGCUGCUCGCAGCAGGGAGCCCCCUGGGGCGCGCGGAAGCCCGGCCGCGCCCCUGGGGCCGGGCCUGGCGGGCGGGCGGUGCCGGGGUCGAGGACAGCACGGACUGUGGCCGUCCGGAGCCUGCGAGGGAAACUCACAGGAAAGUCUCCAAGUUGGCACCGGGCAGCGAGGCUUUCAGGGCUGGCAGGUGACGAGGCCAAGGGACCGAAUGGGACGCCUUCAUCCUGGGGGAGCCACGAUCCACCCCCACCCCACCCUCAAGGCGGGGCACCUCCUCCACAUCCUUGACAGAGAGAAAUGCACCAAAGUCGCUUCUUGCUGCUUCUGUGGUCUGGCACUGAUGAGGCAGAGCCUUAUGGUUUCUUCUGGAUCCAGCCACUGCUAUUGAUUUGUGCCUGGUGUUUGCUGAUUUGACUGAACUGCCACUGCUGAUUCGUGUUUAAUGUUUUGAACUGGACUGCUGAUAUCCUGACAAUGAAGAUUGGAAUCACCCCCAAAGAACUACUUCUAAACAGCUGUCCAACCCCUUGCUCGUGCUCUGCCUGUUAGAAUGAACAAAGAUGGCCGUGCUCAGCCCACUGUGCUACAGAUGUCUUGUGGGCACUGGGUAGUGUCUGGAUGGCCUCAGAAGUUCUUGGUUUGGAGUGUUUUUAAGGAGGCUCUUUCAAGAUUCAAGACUCUUCUGUUUCCAUCUGCCUGCGACUUGAUAUAUCAAGGCUGUGUUGAGAAAAGGUUCAAACUCCCUGAGGAAACUGCCCAGCCUGGCCCUUGGCAUCUUGGAUGCCCCUGGUCUCCUCAGGCCCAGCAUGCCUUGGCAGCCCUACCUUGUCCCUGGAUCUGGUGCAGCUGGCUGGCCUUUUGUCGCCUCUGCCUCUGUGUAAUCAAAGCUGCCUUUGUGUCAGAAAUCAAGAAGGACUUUGGAGACACGGGGGAGGAUACCGCCAGGGACUGAGUGUUCUGAAUGACAUACCCAGCCUCACAGACUCCCAGCCAACCCUCCACAGACAGGAGAUCCCCAAGUCAGCCACAGUGCCUCAGCCAUAGUUCUGUCUGCCGGAGGCCCCAGGUAAACCUGGUGUAGGUCAGGUGGAAAAAGGCAGAGCACAGUCCUGGAGUCCACAACUCACAGCUCAGGUGGGGCUGGACAGUCGCCAGAACCCACCCACAGAACACUUCACUCAAGGAACAGGGUGAACUCGUCUCAGUCACGUUCAGGAGGAAGAAAGGCCUCCUGUUGGAAAAGGUCUGUGUUUCCUCUGGAGUGAACCCCAAAUCUUCCCUGUUGGAAAUUCUAGAGUGAUGAGGGGGUAAAUGUUGUCUUGGACCCUUCCUUAGUAGACAAAAGCUGAUCAUGCCAACCAAACCAAAAGUCACAUGGUCACUUCUAUUAAUAGCUAGCAGCAGCAACAACAAACAAACUCAUUUUCUAAGGGUGGAGCAGGAAGGCCCACAUUCUCUCCAGGAUUAGGGAUUUUCUUGAAUUCAUGGAUGGAAAAGCUGAGACCAGAGUGGUGCCUAAGCAGCCACUGCUUGAAUUCUGGCAGUACUGUGGGAAGAGACGUGGGUCAUGCUGGCAUCCAUCCCGGAGCCUUUAACAAGGAGCGGGCAAGCCCUAGCCCUGUAAGUGUAACAAAUAGGGAAGCACACAGCCACAGCCUUGACCUUCUCAGAAACAGACUGUUUUAACUCUUAGAUGCUUCCCAGAGCCCCCAGGACUACACCAGGGCAGACUAGACCAGACUUGACUUCAGCCAUUGCUCAGGGGGGAGGGAGAGAGGGAGGAAGUUAGACAACUUAGUCACCUGGACAGGAAACCAUAAGGUAGACACAGGAUAACACAGGGUUAGAGCAGAGCCCCGACUCCCUAGCAGUGCAUGUGUGGGUAUAUGGAUGUGUGUGAAGGUAUUUGAGGAUUCAGACUCAAUGCAUGGAGACAGGAAGGCAAAGAUAGUUGAAAAGCUAUGAUACUUGACCCCUUCAUAGGGCAACCAAAGCUCCUAGACCACUCAGCUGGCUUCCUUAAAAUGAUAACCCCUCCUGAGUGGCAGAGGUGGAGGAAAGUGUCCCAGUCCCCAACUGCAGGAAGGCAUGCAUUUGAUGAAUGGACAUCUUCCCAAAUCAGACAUGAAGCAAAUCACAAAGGCAGCACCCACCAGGUUUAGGCUGCUUUUAUCAAAAAGUAACCGUCAGGAGUGUCCGAUAUGUGGCUCCAUACCCAAUUGUAAACUUACUUGAAACAUGAGAUUUGGGGGGAGGGAAUAUGUUAUAUAUAUAUAUAUAUAUAUAUAUAUAUAUAUAUAUAUAUAUAUACUAUAUAUACAUACAUAUAUGUAACAUGAUUACAUGGCUCAUGUGUAUGAACUUUAUAGAUGAUAUGUUUCAGAGAAGCCAAACAUUGGGACACCCCUGCCCUGUGAGUAGAGCCCAUGAAAGUCUCUCUCCUGGGCCCACGGUGCCCAGUUUUCUAAGGGUGGUGUUACUGACAGUGGUGUAACUGACAGUGGGGAGAGUUUCCCGGAAAACAGGAGGAGCCCCUUCUCUAGACUUUGAGAAAGCCCAGUGGGUGUAUGACCCUUGACAGGCUCAUGGGAUGUGCCAAGCUGCGGAGACCAGAGAGCCAAAGUGGAGUGCUUAUACCUGAAGAAAGCCGGGGGCACUGUGAGCGAGUCUAUA